rnacentral:misc_RNA from 1 species
AGUUAAACAGUACGUGAAAUUGUUGAAAGGGAAACGAUUGAAGUCAGUCGUACCAACGGGAAAUCAAUUCAUCGAGUGUUGAAUUUGGGUCUUGAAGAGUCUUAAAACCUUUGGGUUCAGAUAUUUUCACUUUUUGAACGUAUUUUCUCGUACGGUAGGUUAACAUCGAUUUUGAACAUUAUAAAAUGAUCGGAGGAAUGUAGCUUCGAUCUUGUAUUGAAGUGUUAUAGCCUUUGGUAGAUGUAAUGAUCGAGAUCGAGGAUUGCAACGAAUACCCUUUUGGGCUAUCCGUCUGAUCUCUGAUACGUUGCCUCGGUAACGAAAGCGUGCUUACGGUAUUGAGGUAUUACGGUCAAAAGGUUAGAACGAGAUUACAUUCGUUAAGGAUGUUGACGUAAUGGCUUUAAA